UUAGACGUGCCAACUAUCACAUCACUGAAUAGUCUAUAGCUCGGGGCGUACCUAAACGUGCUAACUACUAUGUCAGUGAGUAGACGGUUAACCCAACUAUGCCUCUAGGGCCUAGUUGGUAGCAUUCUAUCAUGUCGUCAACGUCUCAAUCCAUUCGCAGGGGUUGUCAGAGGAAAUAUUGUCAUAUAAGUUACCUUUUAUUCCCUGUCGUGCCUCGAGGUCGCCAUCAUCCAUUGUCCCUCGGCCAAGCUUUGUCGAGCUUGCUAUAGAACGACAGCUCAAAAGUGAUGUUGGCCUUAGCUCAGACAGUGACAGUGCUAAGUAAUGUCUUGACCGAGCUCCGGCGUAAGGUAUCACACCCCACUCCGCUAGUACACGUGUCUAGGGUAAUCUAACACAUCACAACAUGUUUACUAUUUAGCAUAUACACCUGUCAAAUAAAAACAUAAGCUAUUGCAUGCUAUAAUAUCAUUAAAUCAAUACACCAUUGGCAUUUCCACAUGAAAUCUUUUCAUACUACAACUAUACUUUAAAGUACAGUACAUGCAAUCCUCCACAACUAAACAAAUUUACUUCUUUGAAACCAUAACCAAAAUCAAGUUCAGUAUAUAAUUCCAAAAUGUAAAACUAUAUAUACACAACUCUCAAAUACGAAAACAACUACCCUAUUAACAUCCUGUAUGAUAUUGUAGUGGACUGACCUCUAUCUCUAGCAAAAGUCUGCAACCAAAAAGGUAGCAGGAGAGUGUUAGAUAAAAUCAUAAUAGAAAGAAAAUUUGGUACACAAUUUCAGAUGGAUCAAAUCAUUUAAAAUAACCAGCUUUCUUAAAGAAGGUAUAUAAAAUAAUAACUAUCAACUUUUCUACAACCAUUCAAAUCCCAUAUUUGUAAAUAAUUUCUUCAAAUAUGAAAUUAAAUCUUAUCCAAGCAAUAACAAUAAUUUCUCUACAAUAAUCUUCUUUUACAUAAAUAAAUAACUUAUACUUUUACCAAAUGUGUCAAAAGGGUCGUUUAAAACUCACGAUUCGGGAGUUAUGACGGUACCGUUACCUCAGUCACGACAUAUAGUGAUUGUGAGGAGGGACAUUCUUUGUCACCAAUGGUAGGUGCUAGCAAGUUAGAUUAGUAAACAAUCAUAAUGGUAAGCAACAACUAGUUUAUCAGGCAAACAACAACCAGUUUGCCAUAGUUAGCGUAAGUACAACAACCAAGCUUACCAGGUAAGCACACAACCAAGCUUACCAACAAAGGCACAAGAGGCAUAAAAAUAACAUUAAGUAACCAUAUAUUAAUCAUCAAAUUAAAAUCAUAUCAAAAAAUUCUACGAAUAAGUAUUAUACCACUUGGAUACUAUUUUCAAAUAAAACUGAAAAGAAUUCAAAGUAUUAUGAAACUAUACACUCUCACCUAUACACAAGUCAAUCUUCUAUUUUGGCAGCAUACUAGACAUGCGAUUCUCGAUACCCUCACCUAAAAUAUGAAUUAUGCAACGUCUAAUCAGAUAUUAUUUCCUCCUAUAACAAACAUGCAAUGAAAUGCAAUAAUAUGUAAUAUGUAACUCUGACCAUGCUACAAUUCCGUAUUUUUAUGAGUAUAGAAAUAUUUUUUAUAAAUCAUAAAAUUUUAUACCCAGAAAGUAUAUAUAUAAAUGUACAACAUAUUAAAAUUUCAGAAUUUUUGAAUAUCAUUAACUAUUUUUAAAAUUCAAAAAUCAAAAGGAUAAAUUAUGCUCUGAAAAUCAAUGAUAACAGCUCGGUCUACUAUUUUUAUAAAUUUUCUCGAAUCUAAUUUGACUCCAAAAAGUUUACACAACAUACUAGACACAUAUAUCCAUUUACAGAAAAAAAAUCAUAAAUUUGUAAGCUAUGUAACUAUUUUUAAAAUUUUGACAAAUCUUCCUAGAAUUUUCAGAAAUUAUACUCACUCACAAAUAGCCCAAAACAGUCCAAAAAUCAGAUUCUCGACUCUAUAUUCACUCAAAUUUCAAUAUAACAUAAAUUAAACUUAAACAUGCAUAUGUUCCUUUGAUUCUCAUAGUUUGUUUGUUUUUUAAUUUUAUAAAAAUUCCAUCUCAUAGUUUGUUUGUUUUUUAAUUUCAUAAAAAUUCUAAAUUAUAAAACUAUGAGAAAAUCUGAAACAAAUAUAAAGUAUAUAAAAUUUGUACCUAGUUGAACUCUCAAACUGUUGUCGCUAAAAUUUUUCAAAUCUUUUCUCUCGGUGUUCUCUCUCUCUCUCCCAAGUCUCCUUGUUCUUUUCUUUUUCUUCUAAGCUUACUAGAGAUAGAUAUACACAGAUAUGUACAUAUAUCGAUAAGAACAAGGAAAGAGAGCAAUGGUUCCAAUGAAAAAAUUACACUUUUUCCCUUAUAUUUAAUAUAUCAUCUCACAUUAGAUAAGAUAUUUAUGAUUUACCCCAUAACGUUUAAAUUAUAAUACUUAUAUCCCUUGCAACUUAAUCAACACUAUUAAAUUCAUUCAUUAAGCAAUAAAAUUUUAAAAGA
rnacentral:lncRNA from 1 species